CUCUGUCCACGUUGAGGGGUUGGACACAGGGGGCGGGGAGCAAGGCAUCUCCCUCCACUUUUUUUGGUAAGUUAGUCGAUAACCGUCCGGCCUCCUCAAGAUUUCUCCGCAGUGUCGAAGCGCUGGAUACCGCUGCAAUCGUCAGGCCAUCCGCGAGGCGCCAGAUCUAGCAGAAAGGGAAUACACCACCGUUAGGAAGGUGAUUUCUUUGACGCCAAUCUGGUCGUAGGAGCAUGGCUUUCCUACAUCGUAGCUACCUCUUGUAUUGGGUGUCGGCGCCGUCAUGACUGGCAACAUCGGUCGUGGGUGUGUAGUCACAGUUGCGGGAUUGUCGACCGAGGCGGUGGAAUCUAGGAGCGUGCCGCCGAGGACAAUGGCAUUGGGGCUCUGGAUCGGCUGCGACGUGCUGCAGAUGAGCUAACACAUAGUACAUAUGCUUGUACAUCUAUUAUCGGAUGGGCCAGGACCUUCUACCUCGGUUAGAGUGCCAGGAACAAGAGGAUGCAGCUGGUUGUGCCCCUCUCUAUCUACAUGCUCGCCUCUAUGAUUUUGUGUCUGAAGCCACUGCUUUCACGAACAUUGUCGUCUCCUGUGCUGGUGAGAACUUGGCAGACUCCUCAAGUCACAUCUCCCCCUCCCUUGUUAAAUUGUGUGCUAGAGUUUCUUCCCUUUCUUUGCGUCAGAUAAGAAAUAUGUGGUAGCGUAUAAGUUGAAAUACAAAGGAUGGACCGGAAGCUCAAUUAAAGCAUUGGAUUGAAGAAAGCACUCCCUGAAUUCUGGUUGCACUUUAUAAUGGAAGGCCUGCUGAUGGAAAGAUCAACUAAUGAUGGAAUCCCCCAAAGGUCGAUAAACUGAAAGUUUUGCAUAUUCCCUUUUGUAAUUCACCCUCCAAAGGAAAGAGAAGGUGUAUUGUGGAGCUUCCAUACAAUUUUUCUAUAUUUGUAUUAGACUGGUCAGAUACCUCAUUGAUGAUUUUAUUUCAGUGUAUAUCUUUGCCAAUGUAAAGUGCAAAGUGUACUCUUGGUAUUGCCUUCAUUGCAAAAUUCAAUGUAACGUUCGUGGUGUGUCCAGUAAAGAUGUUGUGCCGUUUUUGGGCCAUUUAAGUA